AAUGACCUAUAACACAUGUUGACCAUUUUCUAUGGAAAGCGCUUGUUUUCUUAAUAAACGCUUCUUAAGAUCCAGGAGCCGACUGUCAGCCAAGCACGACUGUCUCUAUUAAGCCUGUCAGUCAAAGCAGGAGCAGGGCUGACGUCAGUCUCACAAAGAUCCUCCUCCUUUCCUUUUCCCUUACUUUGAGAAGCGUCAUCAAUCAUGUGACCCUGCCGUGAUCUUGGUGUCUUCUCUCGAGACUUCACACUGCCAAGUGCUGACUGCCUGUACCUACGCAUGACCGGUUACAGAACUUUUACAGUUUGGGUACAUGACUUCCUGGGGAAAAAAAACCGGAGACCGAUUCCCUCUUGUGUUGUCACAGCUAUACGCACAGCUUUCCCGGAUUCCCACAAUCUGUAUCGUGGUUUUAUCCCUUUGGAGGAUUAUGCUGCAGUUAAUAUGGCUCAAGACUUGGACUUUGUAUUAUUGUAGUACCUUUUACAAAUCCUUUUCCCGUGUGUUUUGUAAUAAAAAUUAUAUAUUUGCAAAAUAUAAACUAAAAGGGCCCUGCUUUUUCAAAGCCUACUGAAACAAUAAAAGUGAUUUUGUUUUCAAAAA